rnacentral:lncRNA from 1 species
ACAUAUCAUAGCAGAAUAAAACAACAAACAUCUAAUUAUGAUUCUCAAAAAUGGAAUCAGCACCCUAAAUGAAAUAUGCUAUGGAAACACUCAAUUGACUCCAACAUUAUUUCCUAUAUGAGUGUACUCANUAUGUAUAUUACUAGAUAUUUGAAACAUAAGGUCUAUGUAGAUUCUUGAAAUAAAAGGGAAUCAGUUCAAGGCAAGGUUGAUCCGCAUACCACCCAAAUUCCAAACAAAUAGAGUAAAAAUAUGUUAAUGAAAGGCCAUCGUUUUAUAAAAAACUUAGUUGAAACCAUAAAUUAGGCUAGUUAGCUGAAUCCAUUCCUAAAUGAUUGGCAGCAUGACACUUUUCCCCAUCUGAAUUUCAUUCCUCUCU